rfam:Crassostrea gigas strain 05x7-T-G4-1.051#20 contig1666, whole genome shotgun sequence.
CUAUAAGCUUUAUUAAAAGCUACCUACAUAUAUUAUGUAAAUGUCU